rnacentral:rRNA from 1 species
UGGGGGAUAUUGCACAAUGGGCGAAAGCCUGAUGCAGCGACGCCGCGUGGGGGAUGAAGGCCUUCGGGUUGUAAACUUCUUUUGCUCUGAACAAGGCAUGCUAAUGGGUGUGUUGAGUGUAGGGGUUGAUUAGCGCCGGCUAACUACGUGCCAGCAGCCGCGGUAAUACGUAGGGCGCGAGCGUUGUCCGGAAUUAUUGGGCGUAAAGGGCUUGUAGGUGGCUGGUUGCGUCUGUCGUGAAAGCUCAUGGCUUAACUGUAGGUUUGCGGUGGGUACGGGCUGGCUUGAGUGCAGUAGGGGAGGCUGGAAUUCCUGGUGUAGCGGUGGAAUGCGCAGAUAUCAGGAGGAAUACCGGUGGCGAAGGCGGGUCUCUGGGCUGUUACUGACACUGAGGAGCGAAAGCAUGGGGAGCGAACAGG